rnacentral:rRNA from 1 species
GACGAACGCUGGCGGCGUGCUUAACACAUGCAAGUCGAGCGGUAAGGCCCUUUCGGGGGUACACGAGCGGCGAACGGGUGAGUAACACGUGGGUGACCUGCCCUCAGCUCUGGGAUAAGCCUGGGAAACCGGGUCUAAUACUGGAUAUGACUCCAUGACGCAUGUUGUGGGGUGGAAAGCCUUGUGCGGCUGAGGAUGGGCCCGCGGCCUAUCAGCUUGUUGGUGGGGNGAUGGCCUACCAAGGCGACGACGGGUAGCCGGCCUGAGAGGGCGACCGGCCACACUGGGACUGAGACACGGCCCAGACUCCUACGGGAGGCAGCAGUGGGGAAUCUUGCGCAAUGGCGAAAGCCUGACGCAGCGACGCCGCGUGAGGGA